rnacentral:rRNA from 1 species
UACAGAGGGGGCAAGCGUUAUUCGGAAUUAUUGGGCGUAAAGGGCGCGUAGGUGGCCAACUAAGUCACACGUGAAAUCCCUCGGCUUAACCGGGGAACUGCGUGUGAUACUGGAUGGCUUGAGUUUGGGAGAGGGAUGCGGAAUUCCAGGUGUAGCGGUGAAAUGCGUAGAUAUCUGGAGGAACACCGGUGGCGAAGGCGGCAUCCUGGACCAAUACUGACGCUGAGGAGCGAAAGCCAGGGGAGCAAACGGG